rnacentral:rRNA from 1 species
AUUGAACGCUGGCGGCAGGCCUAACACAUGCAAGUCGAGCGAGCGGCGGACGGGUGAGUAAUGUCUGGGAAACUGCCUGAUGGAGGGGGAUAACUACUGGAAACGGUAGCUAAUACCGCAUACCAUCAGAUGUGCCCAGAUGGGAUUAGCUAGUAGGUGGGGUAACGGCGCACCUAGGCGACGAUCCCUAGCUGGUCUGAGAGGAUGACCAGCCACACUGGAACUGAGACACGGUCCAGACUCCGACGGGAGGAAGCAGUGGGGAAUAGUGCACAAAGGGCGAAAGCCUGAUGAAGCAAUGCCGCGUGUGUGAAGAAGGCCUUCGGGUUGUAAAGCACUGUCAGCGGGGAGGCGUUACCCGCAGGAGAAGCACCGGCUAAAUCCGUGCCAGCAGCCGCGGUAAUUC